UGUGAGGAUUCCGCUCAUAGCGUAUAUUAAAGUUGUUGCGGUUAAAAAGCUCGUAGUUGGAUUUCUGCUUGGGGUGGCCGAUGUGCCUUCUGGGUUACAGCCGGUUCAGCCUGAGCAUCUUCUUGGGAAUCGUGUCUGCACUUGACUGUGUGGCACGGGUUCCAGGACUUUUACUUUGGGGGAAAUUAAAGUUUUUUCAAGCAGGGGGUCCCGCCUUGUGAAUCGUUAGGCAUGGGAAUAUAAGCGCAACAGGAC
rnacentral:rRNA from 1 species